rnacentral:rRNA from 1 species
AACGAACGCUGGCGGCGUGCCUAACACAUGCAAGUCGCGCGAGAAAAGGGCUUCGGCCCCCAGUACAGCGGCGCACGGGUGCGUAACACGUGGGUAAUCUGCCUUCAGGACUGGGAUAACCUUCCGAAAGGAGGGCUAAUACCAAAUAAGCUCACGGGAUCUUCGGAUCCUGCGGGAAAAGGUGGCCUCUGCAUGCAAGCUAUCACCUGAAGAUGAGCCCGCGGCCCAUCAGCUAGUUGGCGGGGUAAUGGCCCACCAAGGCUACGACGGGUAGCUGGUCUGAGAGGACGAUCAGCCACACUGGAACUGAGACACGGUCCAGACUCCUACGGGAGGCAGCAGUGGGGAAUCUUGCACAAUGGGCGAAAGCCUGAUGCAGCAACGCCGCGUGUGUGAUGAAGGUCUUCGGAUCGUAAAGCACUUUCGGCUGGGAAGAAUCUCCCGGUGGCUAAUAUCCAUCGGGACUGACGGUACCAGCAGAAGAAGCAACGGCUAACUCUGUGCCAGCAGCCGCAGUAAAAC